rnacentral:sRNA from 1 species
GCGGGGACGACUCUUCUGGAGGAAGCAGCGCGGGCUUGACCGGCGUCGGCCCGCCGCCUCUGCUGCCGCUUCGCCCCAAUCCGGUCCCUCUGGCCCGGCCUGACCCGGUCUGGCUUGUUCGGGCUCAGCGGCCGCGAGGCCGCAGCUCCCGAUGGAAAUCAUAUUACAUAGAAUACUUGGGUGACAUCUGCCUGAGAGAUCUCCAAGAAUUACAGAUUGAGUCUCGCUCUGUUGCCCAGGCUGGAGUGCAGUGGUGCAAUCUCUGCUCACUGCAACCUCCGUCUCCCGAGAUUAAGCAGUUCUCCUGCCUCAGCCUCCUGAGUAGCUGGGAUUACAGGCCGUUGAUGCUCACUGCCAUCAGCUGCAUCCUCCCUAUGGCACUGGUAUCUCAUUCAGUUGCUAAACUUAUAUUAGUUAAUUUCCACUGGCAAGUUUCAGAGAUAUUGGACAGAUACAAGUCCAAUUCUGCUCAACUGCUUGUUGAGGCUCGAGUUCAGCCUAAUCCAUCAAAACAUGU